GAUUGGCCACGCCGCACCUGCAAUGCGUCAAGCCGCGGCGGGCGUGGAGGGCUCCGCGUGAAGGGCCGUGGCCCGCGGGGCAGCCCGCGGCCUUCCGAAGGGAGCGGCCCCGCCUCGGCCGCCAUCUUUACUAGUGGCAACGCGGACGGCCCCAGACGUGCGGGGGCUGCCCUGCGCUCCUUGACCAGUAGAAAAAGGCUCUGCGACAGAAGUUUUGUUUGGGGGUUCAUGUUCCUUUCUGGGAUCCCCUGAAUUCUCUCCACGAAGUCCACGCUGAGAACCUUUCCCUCGCCAUGGCCUCAUGGCAGUUUUCUUGCUGCUGCUUUCACCUUUUCCACCUGUCCAUCCUCGCUGCAGCCACCGUGGUUCAACUCGCUGCUGCUCUUCCCCUUCCUCUUGGUUGGUCCGUGUUUUCGUCUGUUCCUGCUGCUAUAACAAGUACUGCAGACUGGGUCAUUCACGAACAGCCAAUUUAUUUCUCACAGUUCUGGUGGCUGGGAAGUGCAAGGUCAAGGCACCAGCAAAUUUGGGGUCUGAUGACGGCUCACUCUUUGCUUCCAAGGCAGCACCUUGUCACAUCCUCACGUUGUGGAAGUGGAAGGGCAAAAGGGGAAACGCCGUGUCCUCAUGUGGCAGAAGAGAUGAAAGAGCCAGGCAGCUCUCUGAAGCUUCUUUUAUAAGUGCUGGGGAUGGAAUCCAUGACAUCGCAGAUGCCAGACAAGUGCUCCACCACUGAGUCACACCCCCGGCCCUACAACAUGUCUCUGGUGACAGCACUAAAAAGUUUAUUGAUACUCUAGAAAAAGGGUAUUCAUUCAGACUCAUUACCAAUAUUUAUCCAUUCUAUGUGCCCAGGCCCCUCAGAAUGUGAGUGCCAUUUACUUUCUCUUGGGGUCAUAGAUCUUUGGAAUUUGGGGAAUCAUAGACACACUUGAGAAUCUGUGAAAACCAUCGAAACCUCCCAGAAAGACACAUACUUUUAAGUAAUUCUGCAAUUCCUGUAGUAGACUUUCUGAUUCCAUUA